CAAACAGGAUUAGAUACCCUGGUAGUCCUAGCUGUAAACGAUGGAUACUGGAUGUGGGAUAUCAUAUAUUCCGUGUCGAAGCUAACGCGUUAAGUAUCCCGCCUGGGGAGUACGAUCGCAAGAUUGAAACUUAAAGGAAUUGACGGGGACCCGCACAAGCGGUGGAGCAUGUGGUUUAAUUCGAUGCAACGCGAGAAACCUUACCAGAUCUUGACAUUUUAAGGAAUUGUUUGGAAACAUGCGAGUCUCUUCGGAGACCUUAAAACAGGUGGUGCAUGGCUGUCGUCAGCUCGUGCCGUGAGGUGUUGGAUUAAGUUCCGCAACGAGCGCAACCCCUACGUAUAGUUGCCAGCAUUUAGUUGGGGACUCUAUACGAACAGCCUGCGAUGAGCAGGAGGAAGGUGGGGACGAGGUCAAGUCAUCAUGCCCCUUACGAUCUGGGCUACACACGUGCUACAAUGGUUACUACAGAAGGUUGCAAUACAGUGAUGUUGAGCUAAUCCUCAAAAGUAAUCUUAGUUCGGAUUGUAGUCUGCAACUCGACUACAUGAAGCUGGAAUCGCUAGUAAUCGUGAAUCAGAAUGUCACGGUGAAUACGUUCUCGGGUCUUGUACACACCGCCCGUCACACCACGAGAGUUUUCUAUACCUAAAGAUGCAACGUCAACCUUCGGGAGACCUGCAGUUAGGGUGUGGGAGAUGAUUGGGGUUAAGUCGUAACAAGGUAGCUGUACCUGAAGGUGCGGCUG
rnacentral:rRNA from 1 species